GUUAUAAACAAAGUGGUGAAAAUAUGACUUUGAAAUAUGAAGUUUUAAUUUUCUCCAAUAAAACCCAAAUUAUUUCCGAUAAUUUUUGAUUCACUUUACAAACAGUUCUUCAUUGUUGCAAUAUUAUAAUAUAGGACUCACUCAGUAAUGGAAUACGGAACAUUUUCACCUGUGUUGCACAUUUGAUGGGUUCUGUGGUAGAAAUAAUUACCAGAUUUAAAUAUUGUCCCUGAAUACAUCCACCCCACCGCCUCCUUGGAAUCACAUGAGGCUGAUUAACCAGCAUAACUCUCCUCAAAACAAAGCUUUUCUUUUACCUAAAUGACUUGAGCGUGAUCGUGCUGCCCAUGUUGCUGGGUGGACAGGAUUUCUCUGGUUAACUCUGGAAAACAAAGUUUCCUCCUCUUCGCUCAACAAACUGGAUAGAAAAGCCUCUUUACCACAACAACGGCUGAUUUUACCGUGUCGUCACCACAGCAAAUGGAUGAAAUGAGAGUAAAAAGAGGAAUUGUGAUCAAAGAUGACUGGCCUGGCUACAACCUGGAUCUGUUCACCUACCCUGAGCAUUACCACGACGACAUUGAGAACGUCUACAUUCCCCACGGAGUCAUCAUGAACCGGAUAGAGCGCCUGGCCCGGUACGUCAUGGAGGACUUUGAGGACAGUAAGAUCAUGGUGCUGUGCGUUCUGAAGGGAGGAUACAAGUUCUGUGCAGAUCUGGUGGAGUUCAUCAAGGUUCUGGGAUGCAGCUCCAACCGGUACCUGGAGACCCAGGUGGAGUUUAUCCGCCUGAAGAGUUACCUGAACGACCAAUCAACAGAGGACCUUCACAUCAUUGGAAGCAGUGAUCUGUCUUUUCUACGUGGAAAGAGUGUGCUCGUUGUUGAGGCCAUCGUCGACACAGGAAAAACCAUGAAGGCUCUUCUGAAGCAUGUGGAGACCUUUGAACCCAAGAUGGUCAAGGUCGCGGGUCUGCUGGUGAAGAGGCUCUCUAACAUGACUGAAAGUCUGACAGACUAUGUUGGAUUUGAAAUCCCCAAUCGAUUCGUGGUUGGCUACGCCUUGGACUACAACGAGUACUUCCGUGACCUGAACGUAAGUCCUGAGUUUGCUGCUGCUGCUGCUAACCUCGUGACCUUCUGAAAAGCUGUGGAGAAAAAGAGAUGAAAGAGGCGGAGGCGGGAGAGCAAACACGCACAUCUGCGUCAUCAGCAAAACGGGAAAGAUGAAGUACAAGAUUUAGAGAAUUAAAUCCAUUAAUUAUGCACUGUUAUAAAUAUUCUAGCCGUUUUCAGCACUGUGGCUGUGUUUAACUGUAAUUAUUAAUAUUGUUUUGUUUUUUUACAUAUUUCCAUGUGGUUCAGAUAAAUUGUAUUUGUAAUAUGGUUAUAUAUAUUGACUUCCUUUUUGCUUUUUUUGUCACUAGGACUGCCACAAUAAAAAAACAAAUUGCUGGACAAUAAACUGUCCCUGAAGUUCUUGCGAUAAACACUAAUAUUGUUUGAAGAUCAUUUUAAUUUUUAUAUGGUAAUGUCAUAAUAAUGAAAGAACUCAUUCUGAAAGAUCAAUACAUAUUUUACUCUGUCACUGGAAGAUAUUUUAAAUAUUCAAAUUAAUGAACCAAACAGAAGUAACAAAUAAAACGAAUCAUGAAGUCUCUGUAAACAAAAUUAUCCUUAAUAAAAUAAGGUCUAGUUAAAACCAAAGCACUGAUUGAAGACUUUUGUUUAAUUUUUUAUAUAAAAAGAGAAAAAAUAAAUCAUGCAAAUUAUUGAGCUUGUUUUAAUUUAUUAUGCGAUUGUUUCAUUGAUUGAUUUAUUGCGACAGGCCUUUGUCACACAGUAAAUGUUUCAGAUUCUCAAACAAAUAUUAUUAACCCCUUCAGACCUGAUUUUUAUUUACAUUUUUAUCCAGUUAACUCUUAUUCCCUUUUAACAAAGUCUGAGAGAUUAUACUCAUAUAAAGAUAAAUGAAAUCUCAAAUAAGUUAUAAAAUGCUUACAGAUACUUUUUUACUCUGCAUGGUAACACUAUAUAAUAAAAUAACUCCUGAUGUCCAUUGAGAUGGACAACUUUGAAAAAAUCCUAUAAUUUAAUGACUUAAAAUAUAGAUUUUUGCUACUUAUAUGAAUUAUUGUCAUUCUUUGUCCUUAAAAUUUCCAUUUAAUUUUAUAUUUGGGUCUUAUGAUGUAAUUUUUAUAUACUUUUUUUACUCUAAAGUAAUUCUUGGAUUGAUACUUUUUACUUUUACCAGACUAAAACUAUGUUGUAGUAGUGCUACUCUUAUUUGAAUAUAAUUUUUGGAUACUCUGCCCACCUAGAAUACAAAAUGAUGCUAAAAUUGGAUUACUAAUUCUUUGUUGAGAUGAACAGAGGGACCGAAAAGAUGAAGAAAGAAAAGCUGUUCACUACAAGAGGACAUAGGUGACAGAUGGAGGGAGCUUAUGGACCUUGGCAUCCUCGCUGUUGGAUGCUUCCCACUCUGACUCAUGGAAAACACAGUGGGCGUUGUCCUCAAACUGCCGUCUUUACACCACUUUAUUCAAACUCUAACUCAACUUUUAGCUGCCUUUUCCUGGAGCUUGGAAUGAAUAACUGACGGAUUUAACUGCAAACAAAUUAAAGCCAUCAAUUUUAUGUCAUUUAUGUCAACUUGUUUCUGCAGAGUAAUAAUUAAAGAGUUUGACACAA